UCCAAGCCUGGAUCAUGAGCUCUCUCAAUCCUGAAAUUUCCGGGAAGAUCUUGACGUCGAACAACAUUCUCUAGUCCUGGAAUGCAAGUGACUGGCUUGUCCAUGUCCUUAUCUGCAACACCAUACAAGUUAAAACCAAGGUUGCUUCCUCUGUAGCAGGCAAUUUCCUGCUUUUCUUAGAUAAAUACAAAUCUCAAUUAUCCAAACAGAGAUACCACAAGAAUGCCAGAUCAAGGUACAUGGAAGUAAGUCCAGAUGCAACAAGCACUCGAUGGACGGAAAGCGAAGACAGGAACCUGAAAUUCCUCUGCAACAUCAAUAACAGAAGAAGACAAUAUCCCAUCUUCUAUAAUGCACGUAGCGGG